UACGUAGGGUGCAAGCGUUAUCCGGAAUUAUUGGGCGUAAAGCGCGCGUAGGCGGUGACUCAAGUCGGAUGUGAAAGCCCUUGGCUUAACCGAGGAAGUGCAUCCGAAACUGAGUCGCUAGAGUACGAUAGAGGGUCGCGGAAUUCCCGGUGUAGAGGUGAAAUUCGUAGAUAUCGGGAGGAACACCGGUGGCGAAGGCGGCGACCUGGGUCGAUACUGACGCUGAGGCGCGAAAGCGUGGGGAGCAAACAGG
rnacentral:rRNA from 1 species